CAGUAGCCGCGGUAAUACGAAGGGGGCUAGCGUUGCUCGGAAUGACUGGGCGUAAAGGGCGCGUAGGCGGCGAUCAAAGUCAGGCGUGAAAUUCCUGGGCUCAACCUGGGGGCUGCGCUUGAUACUUGGUUGCUUGAGUGGGGAAGAGGGUCGUGGAAUUCCCAGUGUAGAGUUGAAAUUCGUAGAUAUUGGGAAGAACACCGGUGGCGAAGGCGGCGACCUGGUCCUUGACUGACGCUGAGGCGCGAAAGCGUGGGGAGCAAACAGGAUUAGAUACCCCCGUAGUCCCUGUCUCUUAUAC
rnacentral:rRNA from 1 species